AAUGAACGCUAGCGGCAGGCCUAACACAUGCAAGUCGAGGGGUAGAACACUUCGGUGUUUGAGACCGGCGCACGGGUGCGUAGCGCGUAUGCAAUCUACCUUGUACAGGGGAGUAGCCCAGAGAAAUUUGGAUUAAUGCCCCAUAGUAUAUAACCUUCGCAUGUUGGCUAUAUUAAAGUUCCAACGGUACAAGAUGAGCAUGCGUCCCAUUAGUUAGUUGGUAAGGUAACGGCUUACCAAGACGAUGAUGGGUAGGGGUCCUGAGAGGGAGAUCCCCCACACUGGUACUGAGACACGGACCAGACUCCUACGGGAGGCAGCAGUGAGGAAUAUUGGUCAAUGGGCGCAAGCCUGAACCAGCCAUGCCGCGUGCAGGAAGACGGUCCUAUGGAUUGUAAACUGCUUUUAUACAGGAAGAAACCCUCCCACGUGUGGGAGAUUGACGGUACUGUAGGAAUAAGGAUCGGCUAACUCCGUGCCAGCAGCCGCCGUAAGAC
rnacentral:rRNA from 1 species